rnacentral:rRNA from 1 species
ACUGCCUAAGGAUGAGCUCACGCCUGAUUAGCUUGUUGGUGAGGUAAUGGCUUACCAAGGCCACGAUCAGUAGCUGGUUUGAGAGAAUGAUCAGCCACACUGGGACUGAGACACGGCCCAGACUCCUCCGGGAGGCAGCAGUGAGGAAUUUUCCGCAAUGGGCGAAAGCCUGACGGAGCAAUACCGCGUGAGGGAUGAAGUAUCUUGGUAUGUAAACCUCUUUUCUCAAGAAAGAAGUUCUGACGGUACUUGAGGAAUAAGCAUCGGCUAACUCCGUGCCAGCAGCCGCGGUAAUACGGGGGAUGCAAGCGUUAUCCGGAAUCAUUGGGCGUAAAGCGCCUGUAGGUUGUUUGGUAAGUCCGUUGUUAAAGACUAGGGCCUAACCCUAGGAAAGCAAUAGAAACUACUAGACUCGAGUAUGGCAGGGGUAGAGGGAAUUUCUAGUGUAGCGGUGAAAUGCGUAGAUAUUAGAAAGAACACCGGUGGCGAAGGCGCUCUACUGGACCAUUACUGACACUGAGAGGCGAAAGCUAGGGUAGCAAAAGGGAUUAGAUACCCCUGUAGUCCUAGCCGUAAACGAUGGAUACUAGGUGUUGUGCAAAUUGUACAGUAUCUUAGCUAACGCGUUAAGUAUCCCGCCUGGGGAGUACGCUCGCAAGGGUGAAACUCAAAGGAAUUGACGGGGGCCCGCACAAGCGGUGGAGCAUGUGGUUUAAUUCGAUCAACGCGAAGAACCUUACCAGGGCUUGACAUACUACUGAUCUUUUGGAAAUGAGAGAGUGCCUUCGGGAAUGUAGAUACAGGUGGUGCAUGGCUGUCGUCAGCUCGUGUCGUGAGAUGUUGGGUUAAGUCCCGCAACGAGCGCAACCCUCGUUUUUAGUUGUCAAUUUAUUUGGGUUUUCUAGAAAGACUGCCGGUGACAAACCGGAGGAAGGUGAGGAUGACGUCAAGUCAGCAUGCCCCUUAUGUCCUGGGCCACACACGUGCUACAAUGGCAGAGACAAAGAGUUGCAAACCUGCAAAGGCUAGCUAAUCUCAUAAACUCCGUCUAAGUUCGGAUUGUAGGCUGCAACUCGCCUGCAUGAAGUUGGAAUCGCUAGUAAUCGCUGGUCAGCUAUACAGCGGUGAAUUCGUUCCCGGGCCUUGUACACACCGCCCGUCACACCAUGGGAGCUGGUCAUACCCAAUAUCGUUAGUCUAACCAUUCGGGGGACGGCGCUUAAGGUAGGGCUAGUGACUGGGGUGAAGUCGAAACAAGGUA